UGCAGUCGAGCGGUAACAUUUCCAGCUUGCUGGAAGAUGACGAGCGGCGGACGGGUGAGUAACGCGUAGGAAUCUACCGAGUAGUGGGGGAUAGCCCAGAGAAAUUUGGAUUAAUACCGCAUACGCCCUACGGGGGAAAGGAGGGGAUCUUCGGACCUUUCGCUAUUUGAUGAGCCUGCGUGAGAUUAGCUAGUUGGUGAGGUAACGGCUCACCAAGGCUACGAUCUCUAGCUGGUUUUAGAGGAUGAUCAGCAACACUGGGACUGAGACACGGCCCAGACUCCUACGGGAGGCAGCAGUGGGGAAUCUUGGACAAUGGGGGAAAGCCUGAUCCAGCCAUGCCGCGUGAGUGAUGAAGGCCUUAGGGUCGUAAAGCUCUUUCGCCAGAGAUGAUAAUGACAGUAUCUGGUAAAGAAACCCCGGCUAACUCCGUGCCAGCAGCCGCGGUAAUACGGAGGGGGUUAGCGUUGUUCGGAAUUACUGGGCGUAAAGCGCGCGUAAGCGGCCAAGUCAGUCAGAUGUGAAAGCCCCGGGCUCAACCUGAUGAACUGCACCUGAUACUGCUUGGCUAGAGUACAGAAGAGGGUGGUGGAAUUUCCUGUGUA
rnacentral:rRNA from 1 species